UUUGGCGGCCAUAGCGAGUUGGUCCCACGCCUUCCCAUCCCGAACAGGACCGUGAAACGACUCAGCGCCGAU
rnacentral:rRNA from 1 species